GAUGAACGCUGGCGGCAGGCUUAAUACAUGCAAGUCGAGGGGCAGCAGGACUGUAGCAAUACAGUUGCUGGCGACCGGCAAACGGGUGCGGAACAAGUACGCAACUUACCCUGCACUGGGGGAUAGCCCGGGGAAACCCGGAUUAAUACCACGUAAUAUAAAGGAGUGGCAUCACUUUAUUAUUAAAGCUCCGGCGGUUCGGGAUGGGCGUGCGGCUGAUUAGGUAGUUGGUUGAGGUAACGGCUCACCAAGCCUACGAUCAGUAACUGGUGUGAGAGCACGACCAGUCACACGGUGACUGGGACACGGGCCCGACUCCUACGGGAGGCAGCAGUACGGGAUAUUGGGCAGUGGAGGCAACUCUGACCCAGCCAUGCCGCGUGGAGGAUGGCGGCCCUCUGGGUUGUAACCUUCGUUUAGAGGGGACGAUUCCUGUGUAUUCUUACGCAGUUGACGGUACCCUAGGAAUAAGCACCGGCUAACUCCGUG
rnacentral:rRNA from 1 species